CCUACGGGUGGCAGCAGUGGGGAAUAUUGCUCAAUGGGGGAAACUCUGAUGCAGCGACGCCGCGUGCGUGAAGAAGGAUUUCGGUACGUAAAGCUCCAUUAGCAGGGAAGAAAAUGACGGUACCUGACUAAGAAGCCCCGGCUAACUACGUGCCAGCAGCCGCGGCAAUACGGAGGGGGCAAGCGUUAUCCGGAUUUACUGGGUGUAAAGGGAGCGUAGACGGCAGCGCGAGUCUGGAGUGAAAUCCCAUGGCUUAACCAGGGAACUGCUUUGGAAACUGUGCAGCUGGAGUGAAGGAGAGGUAGGCGGAAUGCCUAGUGUAGCGGUGAAAUGCGUAGAUAUCAGGAAGAACACCAGUGGCGAAGGCGGCUUACUGGACUGUAACUGACGUUGAGGCACGAAAGCGUGGGGAGCAAACAGGAUUAGAUACCCCAGUAGUC
rnacentral:rRNA from 1 species